AAUAAUAAUCGCGCGUAGUAUACUGUAUGUCCAUCGGGUUUUUACUAAUUUUCUCACUUUGCUCUCCGCGCCGGUGCCAAUUCGCUCUCAACUGCUCAAUCUCUCAGCUUCAAUCUCUCGGUGAAUCCCUCGACUCUCUCAAAAUCUCAAUCUCAGGUGUCCAAUUUUAAUCGCUGGGUCUGCUGCAAACUAGGGUUCUUUCGUCGAUUGAUUGGAUUUCUUUGCUGGGUUUUUUGCUGCGAAGCUUUGACUCUCUCUCAAUCUCAAUCUCUCAAGUGCUCGAUUUCAAUCUUUUGUUUAGUGGGUUUCAAGUGCUCGAUUUCAAUCACUGGGUUUCAAGUGCUCGAUUUCAGUGGGUCUGGUUUUUUGGUCGAUUGGGUUCUUUGCUCUGCUAGAAAACAAGGGUUCCUGGUUCAAGGGUCUUGGUUCAAGGAGGUAUCUAAAGAAGGAAAUCAAUGAGGUUCGAGAGUUUGAAUGUCUAUAAUCAGACAGACACUCUAUGAAGGCCAGUUCAAGUAUUUUGGAGAAAAGCACGAGUGAAGAAAAGACUCGGUCAUCAGUGGAUUUCCUAGACUUUUUCACUAUUGAUUAGUGGUAUUGACAUGUUGUAGUAGUACUUAUAUGAUUGA